AACGAACGCUGGCGGCAGGCUUAACACAUGCAAGUCGAGCGCCCCGCAAGGGGAGCGGCAGACGGGUGAGUAACGCGUGGGAGUCUACCCAUCUCUACGGAAUAACGCAUGGAAACGUGUGCUAAUACCGUAUACGUCCUUCGGGAGAAAGAUUUAUCGGAGAUGGAUGAGCCCGCGUUGGAUUAGCUAGUUGGUGGGGUAAAGGCCUACCAAGGCGACGAUCCAUAGCUGGGCUGAGAGGAUGAUCAGCCACUCUGGGACUGAGACACGGCCCAGACUCCUACGGGAGGCAGCAGUGGGGAAUAUUGGACAAUGGGCGCAAGCCUGAUCCAGCCAUGCCGCGUGAGUGAUGAAGGCCCUAGGGUUGUAAAGCUCUUUCACCGGUGAAGAUAAUGACGGUAACCGGAGAAGAAGCCCCGGCUAACUUCGUGCCAGCCGCCGCGGUAACAC
rnacentral:rRNA from 1 species